GAUCCUGGCUCAGAAUCAACGCUGGCGGCGCGCUUAACACAUGCAAGUCGAGCGAGAAAGGGGGCAACCCUGAGUAAAGCGGCGUACGGGUGAGUAACACGUGGAUUAUCUACCUUUUAGUGGGGAAUAACUUUGGGAAACCGAAGCUAAUACCGCAUAAGCCUGUAAAGGGAAAGCAGCAAUGCGCUGGAAGAAGAGUCCGCGGCCGAUUAGCUAGUUGGUGAGGUAACGGCCCACCAAGGCGACGAUCGGUAGCCGGCCUGAGAGGGCACACGGCCACACUGGCACUGAAACACGGGCCAGACUCCUACGGGAGGCAGCAGUGGGGAAUCUUGCACAAUGGACGAAAGUCUGAUGCAGCGACGCCGCGUGAGCGAUGAAGCCCUUCGGGGUGUAAAGCUCUUUCGGCAGGAACGAUAAUGACGGUACCUGAAGAAGAAGCUGCGGCUAACUACGUGCCAGCAGCCGCGGUAAUACGUAGGCAGCAAGCGUUGUUCGGAAUUACUGGGCGUAAAGAGUGUGUAGGCGGUGCUCUAAGUUUGGUGUGAAAUCUCCCGGCUUAACUGGGAGGGUGCGCCGAAAACUGGAAUGCUUGAACAUGGGAGAGGAAAGCGGAAUUCCUGGUGUAGCGGUGAAAUGCGUAGAUAUCAGGAGGAACACCUGCGGUGUAGACGGCUUUCUGGACCAUUG
rnacentral:rRNA from 1 species